rnacentral:rRNA from 1 species
UACGAAGGGGGCUAGCGUUGCUCGGAAUUACUGGGCGUAAAGGGAGCGUAGGCGGGUUAUCAAGUUGGAGGUGAAAGCCCAGGGCUCAACCUUGGAAUUGCCUUCAAAACUGAUAGCCUAGAGUAUGGAAGAGGUAAGUGGAACUCCGAGUGUAGAGGUGAAAUUCGUAGAUAUUCGGAAGAACACCAGUGGCGAAGGCGACUUACUGGACGAUUGUUGACGCUGAGGUGCGAAAGCGUGGGGAGCAAACAGG